AUGUAUUUUAUUAUACAAUUGCUAUUUUAAGAAAAACACAGUAAACCGUGUAUAUAAAUUGAUUUACAUUUGUCAAGUCUUCUCCAGUAUGCAAUAAUUGCUAUUUUUAGCAUCAAAUAAGGAAGACUUGACACUUAAAAUAAAUUGCUUACAUAACGCUAGUUGCAAGUGAUUUAAAGAAGGAUAUAUUAUGAAAUUAAUUCGAAACCUUCUCAGUGUACGAAAGACAUGUUGCGCAAUGCAGUUCUGCAUUCAAAUAUGAUGAUUUGGAGAAAGAGAAAGAGAGAGGAAGGAGAGCAAGCUCUCUCGCGAAACAGCCGAAACCGCUCUAUCGCGGGAGCUUAACUGACUGGUUUCGGUCAACAGGUUUGACACGGCGAGCCCGCCGUAAGGAUAAAGAUGAUUCCCGCGGACAAAAACGACACACCGGCCGCCUGCCGCUUGCGACGUUGUUGCGGCCGCAACCUUGUUGCAAGCGGCAGGGAAUGCGGCCUUUUUUGCUGCCGGGGUCCCGUGGUCCAGCCAGGCCCGGGCAGUCGUCGAAGACGUUAAUGGACACGUUGGGCCGCGCCGGGCGGACAGCAACAUUUCCGGGCAAUGUUUUAUCACUUAAGGCCCGAUCCGUCCGGGGCUUCACGCUUUAACUGCGCCGAGAUCGAUAACAACGUCGGAUAUCGAUGCGAAACCUUGUUGCAAGCGGGGCCCGAGCUCGAGUUCUUUCUCGUUUUUAUUUUUGUUUUUCCUCUCUGUUUCUUUUUACUUUCUUUUUUUGCUGCGCACCCGCAACCAGAGUGGAUGUUAAUGGACGCGCGCGCGAUAACAAGCGAGCCGCGCGACUUAACGCCGUCGAGUGAGUACGGGUGCAAUUUGUUGCAUCUGCGAUCGGCUUUCGGCCCGACGUCGUCGAAACGUCUUCAUAGGGAAAGAAACGAACGAGUCCCACGACUCGUUUUCCUCUUUAAUGGACCGAUCGAUAUUGCGAAAAAGUUAUGUUCAGCGCAAGCUGUACAUUACGUACAAAUACAUCACGCUCCAACAGAAAUUGCUCUUGACAUACCGCCACUGCCGUGCUAUUACAGCCAAACAAACAACACACGCGAAAGUUUCAUUAUAGAUAAAGCAUUAAGUUCUAAUGACUGAAAAAUAGUUUGCAUUAUUAUCCGCAUUGCGAUAGUUACACGUGACCGACUUUUGCGCUGUAAGGCUAAUGAUUUUAAUUUUUUCGAUUAUUAAAUUAUUAAUGCCAGAUAUAAUUGCUAAUUUGGGAGGCUGAAUUUAUUAUACAUAUUUUCUAUCAUCAAUUAAAGAAUGAAAUAAAGGAGACGUAUGCACUCAAAACUAGAAGGUUAAACACGAAUUGACAGAAUGAAUCCCCAUCGUCUAGUAGAUAGAACUCACAUCGAAAUCGAACCUGAAUGACGUUGCUCUUUACCUCUCAACUCCUCUCUAGUAGUCGCGAGCGACGGGGCCAUCUUGGUCGAAGCCAUUGCUGGUUGCAUCUAGUCUGUCGCUGGCUUUAAUCCCAUCCGUUACACUUUGGAACUCGAGAAGGUCCUUCCCCCCAGUCCUAUCCCCACGGCGCUGCAGAUGGAGGAAGUGGUCCGAGGAGUCGCAUCGUUUCUCAAUCCGUUUACACGAGGGGAUUCUUAUCCCGGAUUAAUCGUCUGUUUGCGACGCAUCCGCGACAGGUACGACAAGCUUAAUGCAUCCAGGAUACACCGCGCGUUGCAACAACGUGUCGUCCAGUUGCAGUUUUGUCCCCUGCCCCGUUGCCCAUCCGCUGAACCGUUACCGAGAGCCGUGAGCGGAGGCGCGAGGAGCCGUGAGGAAAGAUCGCCACGGAAUGAUAAAAACAUUGACCAAAAACUGCGGCUCGUUUCGGUGCGGCGGCCAUUAACAGCCCCGACAACGAUUGGCGGGCCUGCGGAGAUGCAUCGCACGGCUGCACGCCGCCGCCGUCGCGCCGUUAUCCGGCGAGAUUACUCGCGGACGAUAGCGCGAAAAUGCACCGUAUUCCGCGCGCUUGACGGAUCUCAUUAGCGACGGGAUAAUGGGGAACAAUGUAAACAGUCCGAGGAUUGUCCACAGGUAAACUACGGACGACGAGGAUUUAGCGAGUAAACGGAAGUGUCCGACGGCUAUCUGUCUCCCGUCUCUGCGGUCGAGCGGCAGCUGCAUCGAAACGGCUUAUUGGCCCUCUGCGACAUGAUAGUAAUCAGUGAAUCCAACAAGAGCUUCGGCAGUCCAUUUAGUCGGCGAUCCCAUUUUCUCGGCGUGAUGCGACUUUUAAGGCACGAAAGAGACCGAGGGAAUCUCUCGCAUGCACGCGGUGUAUCUAUUCGAAUGGAGGGACGCGGAGGGUGAGGAGGAUGGAAAGGAUGAGAGAGAGAUGAAGGGCGCGAACGACCUUAAAUACGUCGUAUUCAUCGCGCGUUGAUGAACCGUUGCAGCGGGCCGUGCAACCCGCGUGUACGCGUACGUACGUGUGAAUCAUGCGGAAUGAAAAUUUAUCAUACGGUAUUUAUCACCGUAGACGCGAUAGUCGGCUCGAAUUACGUUUGACGAACGCGGCCGGCAAGGCGCACGAUUUUCCGCGCGGCGGCGAUUUAUGCGACCGCCAAAAAGAUCGAAGAGUCGCACCACCGAUGAUCAAAGACGUAUAUUAAGAUCGACAGCUGUGCUCUCGGCGCCGAGACGCCGCCGUCGACAGGGAUGAAGGGUUACUAAUGCCAGCCACGCUCGCCGUUUUUACGUCAAGCAAUUGCGAAACGCGCGUACGAGAUGCGUGCCUACAUUGUUGCGAAUUUUCCUAUACCGCUCCCUUUCGCGUUGUGAUGACAUUAAAAAGUCCGAGCUGCAAAGGGGCUAAUCAGAUUUUUAGAAAACGAGACUCAAAGACCGUAAAUCAAUUAAGUAUGUAACAAGGAUAACGAGAAGAUCAAAGUUGUAUUUUUUGUCAAAAACCAUAUAUAGUGUAAAUUGUAUCUCUUAAAUUUUUAAGAACAACACGGAAAUUUUAUAGUAAAAAUUACUAUGAUAAAUAGUAAGCGCGGGUCAAGGAAAAAAUUACGAAAAUUUUUAUUAUGUUUUUCACCAGAUUAUCAUAUAGUAUUUGCACUACUUAUGAUAUAAUUUUCUGAAAUUUCUUCUUAUGGUCCGUAGCUAUUACAGUACAAAAUAAUGCAUACUAUAAAAUUUUCUUCGUGAAGGAGUAUUAAAAAAAAUCUUUAGGGUGUCUAAAAUAAAUUAGUUUAUUAAAUAUUCUUAAAUUCCCCUUCCCACUUAUACUGAAUUAUUCAAACUUGCAAUUUUUCCUAUAUACAUAUACAUACAUGCAUACAUACAUAUAUAUAUAUAUUGCUAAAGAAGAUAGUGAAAAAAAGGAAGGAUAUCACAAUAAACUACAUCGUGUAUUAAAUAAGAUAAUCAAUAACUCAAUUCUAAUAAUUCAGAUUACUGAUAGAAGAAAUUUGAGUAGAUAAAGACAAUAAUUUUGUCUCCUAUCUUUCGUUUACAAUUCUUUCAGCUCAUAUCGGGAGAAAUUCAAAGGCGGGGCGUUGAAAGUUCGACUUUUCCCUCGAAGCGUUCCUGUCAUUCCUUUUUACGCGAGUAGGACGCUUUCUGAAAUAAAUCUCAUCUUGGAGCGUUGCGUGGGCGACGCGACGCGUCGGCUGCUUCUAUUCCUUCUGACGACGUUAUCGAGAGACUAAAGGUGGGGGCCUGUGUCGUCUGAAGCUAUCGAUCAUCGAUACCGAAUUCAAUUACCUUAUUGUGUCUCUAGAAGUGCACGCGUGUGUGUCUUACUUGCGAGAGGCCGCAAAGGUUUCCUUGCCUAGCGACUAGACCAUCGCGUCGGCCGCUUCCAUUAAAUGAAAGCCCGUUUAUCAUUGGUGAUUCGAACUGUUACAUCGUCGUGAAUUUAAUUCAAUAAUAAUAGCAAUAAAUAAUGGAAAAUGCAUAGUUUAGCUUGAUGCAUUCUAACGUAAUGAACGAUGAUAACGAGAAAAAAAAUAAAGGAGAAAAGAGGAACUGUUUAAAGGCCCAUCGUACACUUGUAUAGGAAGAUUAUUCAUCGUGGCAGGAGAGAAUUACCGCGAGAUCUAAUCGCGUAAUACCACAAGAGCGGGUAUGCGCGUGCAAUGAUCUCAGACUGCGUUGAAUGGACCUCAAACCUUGGUAUGUUCAUCUAGAUAUGCAUGCUCUACGACGGCGAAUUGCUUGUUAAUCGGGCCACGAUUACAGGCGGAAUCAACGUAUAUAAACUCAUUGUCGCUGAAUAAGAAAGUUGGCCUCGAUUAAAACGAAGUAAUAUUAGAAUGGUAUUGGAAUUGAUGCUAAUUCCAAAGAUGUCACUAUGAAUAUGGACAUUAAAUAGAAACCAAGCAGAUUGAACAGAGUAAGGAAAUAUAUUCUAGAUCAAUUUUAUGUGUUUUAUUUAUGGAAAAUCCAAUAAAAGAAAAAAAUGUAUAAUAAAGGAAAAAAGAGAAAUGCAAUGAAUGUUUAUGCCCACCUAUUCAUAAGAUAAAUUAAUUUUGUUACUUUACACAUUCUGUAAAAUUUUAAAUGGGGCAACUUUUUUUUAAAUUUAUAUAAUAUUUAGAUAAUGAAAUUAAUAUUAAAUAAUAAUAUAAUUUGAUCUUGUCUAUGACAUUCAAUCUAAACGUAAUCAUUAGUUGCUUUUGAUAUGUAUCUAAAAUUAUCAUGACAUAAUAUUCUAUUACAUAUACGCGUCAUUUCAAUUACUCUUGCGUCUCACAAUUAUUCUGUCAUUUACUUCGCAAAAUAUCGUGAUAUCAUUGUUAAUAUACUGUCCUAUUGUUAGAAUAGUUAAUUAAUUCAUAAUUAAUAUGGUCCUGAACAUGGUUUCUAAACAUUGAUGUAGGUCAAACAUAUCUACGUGACGUCGAUGCGACCUUUCCCUGAUUGCUUCGUCGUUCUCUCUUGGAUCGCAAGGCGAUGUCCUUUGAAACGACGUAUAACACGAGCGAGGAAAUUGUCGUCGGACACGAUGAACCUUAGACUCCCGGCGAACCGCACUGACCGCGGCUCCUCAUUUUGCGUACGGACCAUAUACCCGGAGACGGCUAGCCGUAGACACUUGAGAUUCUCAGAUCGCUAUCUGCGGAUCGUCAGUGCACAAUCGCACGCGCGCGCACUAGUGCACCGCAUCACCGGAAUUGCAUCGCAGUCGCGUUCCCGACUGCGAAAGCACUAACUGCGACGGGCGAUAAAGCCGCGCGACGAUGUUGCAAGCACGUCGAACAAUCUAACGUUGAUGAAGACGCUGUCGAAUGUUUUUACUACGGUAAUUUUCGAAGGGUACAUCCAAUUCAGAAACGAAAACAAGGAACCUUCGAUGAAUGAGGCUUGAAAAAGAUGCACCGAAAUUAAUUCUGCGAGCAAACAUUUUGUUAAAAUAAUAGAAUUUAGAAUAAUUAAGGUUAACGAGAGGAUGCGAGAUUACGGAACGAAUCAUAAACGAAAAUUCAGCUUAUUUUAAUCGAUGCGUUAGAAGCAUGAUUUCGCGCCGAGGUACUCGAACUCGCCUUCGUGUCGUCGCGAUUAACGCGGAACGAAACGGAGGACUAAAUGUUUAAUUAACUGGCGAUCGACCGGGCUAAUGAAAGACUUGGUAUUUUACCGAGGCUGUCCCAUGGCAAGAACAAACCGCGCGCGGUUGUUGGCGCGAUAAACAAUGACUGCAGCAAACCCUUGUGAAAAUUGCGAGGUGCGACGCGCCGCAAAAAAUCCCAUCAGCCUCGAUGAUCGUGCCGCUUCUAUACGUACAUGUCGAUUUAUCUGUUUCUCUCUCUCUACCUCUCUCUUUCCUUCGCUCUUGCUUUUACUCUUUUACUCUCGUUUUAUCUCUCUCUCGCGAGUGAUAAUCGUGCCGGCGCGAUUCGUGCCGAGUCGCGCAUCGUCAUGCCGGUAACGCCGAUGUACCACUUUGUAACAGAUCGCUGAUUGUAUCCUGACUCAUUGCACUGCAUUGCUAUGGCAUUUGCAUCAUAUAGGGUGUCCAGGAAAAGCUGCAUGGUGAUAAUCUCUAAGGUAAUGUUCGUCGAGGUAUUUAUGUGUAUUCUAAAAUUGAACACAACUAAUUGAUUAAUUCUAAAUUUGUUUAUUACAUGUUCAUUUAACAUAGAAGUAUAAAUUAUUAUUGUUUUUUUUGUAAUAUGUUCCUCAAACAUUGAAUAAAAAGUAAAGUUUAAUCUUUAAAUGUAGAAAGACAGAGACUUUUUUCACAUAAGAGAUUUCUUGCAUAUAUUAUUGAAAAAGUAUAAAAAAUUACCUGGUAUCGGGAAUUAAAUUGCAAUCGAAUUACCAUUUUAUUAAAGUACGCCGAACAGAUCGAAACAUCAGAUGCACCUGACGUUUUACAGAUACCGUAGGUACGCGGGCUAUAUUUAAACGACAAUUUGGCCGGGUCAAUGUUUAAUCGACGCGUAUUUUAAUUCUAUCGGUUUCGAGCAAGCUAAAUCGCCACUUACAUUAGCCGGCAGAAUGGGCGAUUACCUUCAUCACCCGUUCGGCCCUUUAAGCUAGCCUCGCUCGAUUAGCAGCAACUUUCGCUGGAGUUGCGUUCAAUUAAUCCGCUCUAAUUUUCGCGCGAGUCCCGUCGAAAUCUCACCUAGACGAUUCGCCAAUUCGCCGUACGCGCUGAAUUGCAUGAUAAACGAUCGCAUUAAAAGCUAUUUAAUCCACGGGAAGUUAUCGAUAAAGCAAAUGAUUAAAAUAAUAGGCAUGAAAUAUUAUUUAUGCGUGUUGAUUUCUAAAAUAUAAGUAAAAAAUAUAUUGAAAUAUUCUACCUUCUGAAAAGAACAAAGAGAAGCUACUUUCACUACCGGCGUGAUAAUUUCAUCAAGUAGUUUUUUUUUUAAAUUAAAUUUCACCAAAUAUAAAGCAAAAAAAUUUUUUUGCGUUCUUGAAGAAUAUUUUGUAAUAUUUUAGAUUUAACAAUAUAAUGUUUUGCUCUAAUGGCAGACCUAUCCUAGCUUCCUGCGAUCGCAUAAACUAUUUAUUAUCGAUUGCUCAACAGGAGCAUAAUAGUUCUAGCUAAAUCUAGCCGUGAUUUUCCCAGCGUUGCUUAAUUAACUCCAACCAUAGUUUAAUUGGUUCCGUGUUUUCCUCUAGAUAGUAGCAUUGGCUACAACAUGUAUGAAGAAAGAAAAUUAUAUAAGGAGAUAUGUUCUUGCAAGGUUAAAGUUCAUUAACGUUAGUCUGCAUGAAACCGGUCUCUAAACAACAUAUAUUUU
rnacentral:lncRNA from 1 species